rnacentral:rRNA from 1 species
UACGUAGGGUGCGAGCGUUGUCCGGAAUCAUUGGGCGUAAAGAGCUCGUAGGCGGCUUGUCGCGUCGGUUGUGAAAGCCCGGGGCUUAACUCCGGGUCUGCAUUCGAUACGGGCAGGCUAGAGUUCGGUAGGGGAGAUCGGAAUUCCUGGUGUAGCGGUGAAAUGCGCAGAUAUCAGGAGGAACACCGGUGGCGAAGGCGGAUCUCUGGGCCGAUACUGACGCUGAGGAGCGAAAGCGUGGGGAGCGAACAGG